rnacentral:rRNA from 1 species
AGAGUUUGAUCCUGGCUCAGAACGAAAGCUGGCGGUAUGCCUAACACAUGCAAGUCGAACGGUGUUUUUUUCGUGUUUGGUUUCGGCUAGGCAUGAAAAUUACAUGAGUGGCGGAUGGGUGAGUAACACGUAAGAAUUUACCUUUAGGAGGAAGAUAACAUCGUAGGUAGUAAUAUCUGGGAAACUGGUGCUAAUCUGCCAUAUGCUGAGGAGUGAAAAGGUUGAAUAAACCGCCUGAAGAGAAGCUUGCGUCUGAUUAGCUAGUUGGUGAAGGUAAAAGCUUCCCAAGGCGAUGAUCAGUAGUUGGUCUAAGAGGAUGAUCAGCCACACUGGAACUGAGACACGGUCCAGACUUCUACGGAAGGCAGCAGUGAGGAAUUUUCCACAAUGGGCGAAAGCCUGAUGGAGCAAUACCGCGUGAAGGAAGAAGGCCCGUGGGUCGUAAACUUCUUUUCUCAGAGAAGAAUAAUCACGGUAUCUGAGGAAUAAGCAUCGGCUAACUCCGUGCCAGCAGCCGCGGUAAUACGGGGGAUGCAAGCUUUGUUCGGAAUAAUUGGGCGUAAAGCACCUGUAGGUGGCUUCAUUAAGUCUUCUGUCAAAUCCCAGAGCUUAACUUUGGACAGGCAUUGGAAACUGGGAAGCUAGAGUUAGGUAGGGGUAGAGGGAAUCUUGAGUGUAGCAGUGAAAUGCGUAGAUAUUCAGGAGAACACCAAGGGCGAAAGCACUCUACUGGGCCGUUACUGACACUGAGAGGUGAAAGCUAGGGGAGCAAAACGGAUUAGAUACCCGUGUAGUCCUAGCCGUAAACGAUGGAUACUAAGUGCUGUCAAAAAACAGUGCUGUAGCUAACGCAUUAAGUAUCCCGCCUGGGGAGUAUGCUCACAAGAGUGAAACUCAAAGGAAUUGACGGGAAUCAGCACAAGCGGUGGAGCGUGCGGUUUAAUUCGAUCUACGCGAAGAACCUUACCAGGGUUUGACAUGUCAAGGACCUGCAGAGAUGAAGGGUGCCUGAAAAGGAGCUUGAACACCGGUGGUGCAUGGCUGUCGUCAGCUAAUGUUGUGAAAUAUUGAGUUAAGUCUCGUAAUUAGCGAAACCCUCGUCCUUAGUUGCCUUUUAGGAUCUCUGGGGAAACUGCCGGCGUAAGCCGGAGGAAGGUGAGGAUAACGUCAAGUCAGCACGCCCCUUAUGCCCUGGGCGACACGCGCGCUACAAUGGUAGAGACAACGAGCUGCUAACCCGAUCGAAGGGCAAGCGAACCUCAAAAACUCUAUCUUAGUUCGGAUUAGAGGCUGCAACUCGCCUUUAUGAAGUCGGAAUCGCUAGUAAUCGCCGGUCAGCCACACGGCGGUGAAUACGUUCCCUGGUUUUGUACACACCGCCCGUCAUUUGGCGUGAGGAAACUUAGCCCGAAAUCGUUUAGCUCUCUUUCACAAGGGGGCGAUGCCUACGGCUCGGUCUCUAAAUGCUAAAAAGUCGGAACAAGGU